ensembl:lncRNA
GUCCCAGUGAUGCCGAAGCAGCACAGGCAGUGUGGUCUUCUGGUCCCAGUGAUGCCGAGCAGCACAGGCAGUGUGGUCUUCUGGUCCCAGUGAUGCCGAGCAGCACAGGCAGUGUGGUCUUCUGGUCCCAGUGAUGCCGAAGCAGCACAGGCAGUGUGGUCUUCUGGUCCCAGUGAUGCCGAAGCAGCACAGGCAGUGUGGUCUUCUGGUCCCAGUGAUGCCGAGCAGCACAGGCAGUGUGGUCUUCUGGUCCCAGUGAUGCCGAGCAGCACAGGCAGUGUGGUCUUCUG